CAGGUCUUGACAUCCCUUGACAACUCCAGAGAUGGAGCGUUCCCUUCGGGGACAAGGUGACAGGUGGUGCAUGGUUGUCGUCAGCUCGUGUCGUGAGAUGUUGGGUUAAGUCCCGCAACGAGCGCAACCCUUAUUACUAGUUGCCAGCAUUUAGUUGGGCACUCUAGUGAGACUGCCGGUGACAAACCGGAGGAAGGUGGGGAUGACGUCAAAUCAUCAUGCCCCUUAUGACCUGGGCUACACACGUGCUACAAUGGCGUAUACAACGAGUUGCCAACCCGCGAGGGUGAGCUAAUCUCUUAAAGUACGUCUCAGUUCGGAUUGUAGGCUGCAACUCGCCUACAUGAAGUCGGAAUCGCUAGUAAUCGCGGAUCAGCACGCCGCGGUGAAUACGUUCCC
rnacentral:rRNA from 1 species